CUCCCUGCCAGAGCACUGGUACUGUGGCCUCACGAUGGCACUGUAGGAAAGGAGUUGCUUCAACCUGAAAGCAAAGCCAGCCAAAGAACUGUGUGUGCCAAAAGCAAGAGGAUGUCCCUCAAGCACUUCUAUCCCAGAGAGCUUUCCAGACCCUACAGCAACAGCAGAGACGCCACCACCGCCAGGACGCAGCAGCUAUUGGAGUGUGCAGCACAGCACAGAGGAGAAUAAACACUGGCCUGAGCAAACCUCCGCUCUGAGCAAGUGCCAGGAGCUGGCUGUGGCUGCAGAGUGCAGAAGGCCAAGGACUGGACUGACCACAGAGGAUAAACAACACCCCUCUGGGCAUUCAAACGCCUCAGGACAGGCUCCUCUCCAGAGUUAUGGCAGCAGCUUGAAAUGAAACAGACGAACAACAGAGCAGACGGUCAGCAUGUGUGACGGGAGGCAGCAGAGGAAGACCACGUCCGCCCAGGCCACCAGCUGAGCAUUGUCAUAAAGGCACCCAACCCCCUGCUCCUGCAGGUCUGCUGAGAUAAAGCAAAGCAAACGGGGCUCAGAGCCAUAGACUCAGGGCAGGCGAGCAGCCAUCACCGCCAGGCACAGGCAGCGUGGUACCUGCUCUCUGCUACACGCAGAUGAAAUGCAAACAACCUCUCCCCAGCUGGAACUGCCCUCCCAAGGCGGCAAUGAGAGACUUCAGCAGCUACCCAUCACCAUUUCUACAUGGCAAGUGGCACCUUGGUGACAAACCAAGCAAGCAUCUCUGCCAGGAAUAAACGUGCAUUGAAUUCAGCCAUCUGGCCCCAGAUCGUGAACACUGAUUUAAAGCCUUAGCCAAAACAGCCAAGUCUUGGGAUCUGGCUAGUUUUCAAGAUCUAUAAAAAGCCAUUUAAUAACCCGUGCUUACUCUCUACUCUGAGAUGAUUAGAAAGAGGAUUUUAUUGUUCUAUGCAUCUCCCUGGAGGAGAGUUCUCCCCACUCAUCUUGUUUUAUAUAAUAGUUUACAGAGCAGUUGACAGUUUGUAUGCAAACAGUUGCUGUAAUGCUGCAGUCUAAUCCCCGCUCCUCUCUGGGCCUUCAGAGCAUUUCAGAGCACAGCAAGAAGCUUGUCUUGUACAACUGACCCUACAGCAACGAAACAAGGAGAGGAACUUCUCAGUUUCAGCAUUGCUGCAGAUUUGGAGAGAUGUUUCCUCUGUUGGGUGAAUAUUUAAUAAGCUGGAAUCUCAAUCACUCACCAAAUUCUUGGCACGUGUAGCAAAUGACAAGGAGAAUUUUGAAAAGAGCAGCAAAAGUUGCAGGGCUAAACUAAGAGGGGCUGAAACUAACAGGCUUUCAAAGGUACAGAGUCAAUGUCUCCACCAAGCUCAAUGGGGACUGGUGACAGAAAAUCUGCUCAACUGAAUUAGCACUUAGCAGACAGUGGGUUUCCAACUGAAUAAAAGUUUUUUCCACAAUGGCAUCCCCUGCUUCCCCAUAAAAAUUUGGAGUUUCAAUGCCUUCAAUAUUUUUGGCAGGAGAGCAUUCUCUAGUGAGUUCUGCCUGAAGCGCUAUAAGAAAAUCCAGUUAAAGUCCACACAAGCGUAGUCCCGCUUCCAAACCCAG